rnacentral:rRNA from 1 species
AUGAACGCUAGCUACAGGCUUAACACAUGCAAGUCGAGGGGCAGCAUGGUCUUAGCUUGCUAAGGCCGAUGGCGACCGGCGCACGGGUGAGUAACACGUAUCCAACCUGCCGUCUACUCUUGGAUAGCCUUCUGAAAGGAAGAUUAAUACAAGAUGGCAUCAUGAGUCCGCAUGUUCACAUGAUUAAAGGUAUUCCGGUAGACGAUGGGGAUGCGUUCCAUUAGAUAGUAGGCGGGGUAACGGCCCACCUAGUCUUCGAUGGAUAGGGGUUCUGAGAGGAAGGUCCCCCACAUUGGAACUGAGACACGGUCCAAACUCCUACGGGAGGCAGCAGUGAGGAAUAUUGGUCAAUGGGCGAGAGCCUGAACCAGCCAAGUAGCGUGAAGGAUGACUGCCCUAUGGGUUGUAAACUUCUUUUAUAAAGGAAUAAAGUCGGGUAUGGAUACCCGUUUGCAUGUACUUUAUGAAUAAGGAUCGGCUAACUCCGUGCCAGCAGCCGCGGUAAUACGGAGGAUCCGAGCGUUAUCCGGAUUUAUUGGGUUUAAAGGGAGCGUAGAUGGAUGUUUAAGUCAGUUGUGAAAGUUUGCGGCUCAACCGUAAAAUUGCAGUUGAUACUGGAUAUCUUGAGUGCAGUUGAGGCAGGCGGAAUUCGUGGUGUAGCGGUGAAAUGCUUAGAUAUCACGAAGAACUCCGAUUGCGAAGGCAGCCUGCUAAGCUGCAACUGACAUUGAGGCUCGAAAGUGUGGGUAUCAAACAGGAUUAGAUACCCUGGUAGUCCACGCCGUAAACGAUGAAUACUAGGUGUUGGGAAGCAUUGCUUCUCGGUGCCGUCGCAAACGCAGUAAGUAUUCCACCUGGGGAGUACGUUCGCAAGAAUGAAACUCAAAGGAAUUGACGGGGGCCCGCACAAGCGGAGGAACAUGUGGUUUAAUUCGAUGAUACGCGAGGAACCUUACCCGGGCUUAAAUUGCAGAUGAAUUACGGUGAAAGCCGUAAGCCGCAAGGCAUCUGUGAAGGUGCUGCAUGGUUGUCGUCAGCUCGUGCCGUGAGGUGUCGGCUUAAGUGCCAUAACGAGCGCAACCCUUGUUGUCAGUUACUAACAGGUUCCGCUGAGGACUCUGACAAGACUGCCAUCGUAAGAUGUGAGGAAGGUGGGGAUGACGUCAAAUCAGCACGGCCCUUACGUCCGGGGCUACACACGUGUUACAAUGGGGGGUACAGAGGGCCGCUACCACGCGAGUGGAUGCCAAUCCCCAAAACCUCUCUCAGUUCGGACUGGAGUCUGCAACCCGACUCCACGAAGCUGGAUUCGCUAGUAAUCGCGCAUCAGCCACGGCGCGGUGAAUACGUUCCCGGGCCUUGUACACACCGCCCGUCAAGCCAUGGGAGCCGGGGGUACCUGAAGUGCGUAACCGCGAGGAGCGCCCUAGGGUAAAACUGGUGACUGGGGCU